rnacentral:tRNA from 1 species
AAGGCUUUAAGUUAAGCAAACUAAUAUCCUUCAAAGUUAUAAAUAAAGAGAACGUCUUUAAGUCUUA